UGCUGACCUGCUGAAUUUGUACUGUUUAUACUUAUAAUGGACUUUCACAUGGAGAGGCCUAGCAAAGUGUCAAGAGGUCCCAUGCAGCCAUGCAAACAUAACUCAUAAGUAAAAAGCCGAUGCGAAUGUGACCUGAAAAAGUAUGCUUUAAGUUGGUGCUGGUGAAAUAGUACGACACUGUGGCCAUGUUUGUUUCACGGGUGCUCG
rnacentral:lncRNA from 1 species